AAUGCUUGUUUUGGUAGAUUAUAUACUAGAAUAGGAACCAUGCAGAGAUUAGCGUGACCCUUGCUAAGGAUGACACACAGAUUUGUGAAGCAUUCCCUACUUUU
ensembl:snRNA U6 U6 spliceosomal RNA